UUGGAGAGUUUGAUCCUGGCUCAGGACGAACGCUGGCGGCGUGCUUAACACAUGCAAGUCGAACGAAGAGCGAUGGAAGCUUGCUUCUAUCAAUCUUAGUGGCGAACGGGUGAGUAACGCGUAAUCAACCUGCCCUUCAGAGGGGGACAACAGUUGGAAACGACUGCUAAUACCGCAUACGAUCUGACCUCGGCAUCGAGGAUAGAUGAAAGGUGGCCUCUAUUUAUAAGCUAUCACUGAAGGAGGGGAUUGCGUCUGAUUAGCUAGUUGGAGGGGUAACGGCCCACCAAGGCGAUGAUCAGUAGCCGGUCUGAGAGGAUGAACGGCCACAUUGGGACUGAGACACGGCCCAGACUCCUACGGGAGGCAGCAGUGGGGAAUCUUCCGCAAUGGACGAAAGUCUGACGGAGCAACGCCGCGUGAGUGAUGACGGCCUUCGGGUUGUAAAGCUCUGUUAAUCGGGACGAAUGGUUCUUGUGCAAAUAGUGCGAGGAUUUGACGGUACCGGAAUAGAAAGCCACGGCUAACUA
rnacentral:rRNA from 1 species